UGUCUAAUACGAGAUAUACUGUCGAACUCGUCGAUGGAUAUUGAACCUGAUUUAUCCACAGUAAAUUGAACGUGAUUCGGUCAUUAUACAAACUAUGUAUGCUAAAAAGUAUAAUUGUAAUACAUGUAUGCUUUAUAAAAACGUCUAUCAAAUGGAAAACGUAUAUAAAGUGGAUGUGUAAGAACAUUUAAUGCAUUGUUUAAAUAACUCGUUGAGAAUAGAGUGUAUAAAAAUAAAACACUACUUUCUUUGCUUUGUCUGUAUGGAACGUUUCGGAAAUAUUAUACAUUGUACUUGUAUUUUACUGUACCAAAAGUCCUAUGUGGAGCCGCGACUACCAUUUCGUAGACAAGAUACAAAACACAUGUUCAUUUGCUGAAAGAGCUGUUAUAACCUCCUAUGAUAAAUAAGAUGUAUUGUUUGCAGUUAAUAUCUCAUCGUGAACGGCUGAGAAAGCAAUGUCAAACAAUUGAUUUAACAUAGAAGCUUAUAAAACAAGGUCACACAGAGAACAUUCGACAAGCUGGUGAAAACUUUGUUUCAUAUUAUUGUAACCAGAGAAGAAAGGCUGUUGUUGAUACAGAAGAAAGGCUGUUGUUGGACAUAUUCGAACCGAAACCAUGUUCUGUUGAUACAGCUUGAUCAUCAUCUAGUAUUUGGCUCUGGCUUUGUGACUAGAAUCACAUGCAAUGUGUGUUGAAAUGCUAUUAGGUGCUGUUGUGUGUUUGUUGUUUUAAAUUAUAUUUAAAUGUAUGUUCUUAAUGCAUAGCUGUUACCAUUUGCGUUUGCUACAUGGCAUUAUCAUAUAUAUCUAGACAAAAGAAAACCUUCAUAACGAAAACAUACAUUCACGGUUUGCUUUGAUCUGUAAAAAAUCAUCUCUAAAAUAAAUUCACCCGUAUACGCAAUCUAAACAAAUUGAUUGAAGGAUAUAUGUUUUCAUUUAUUUAUUUAUUUAUUUAUUUACUGGAAUAUCACAACCUACGCAUACAUAUGUAAGAUUCGGAGUAAUAAUGCCAUAUUGUAAUUGAAAAACAUGUACAAGCCUAAACAUAAAUAUACUUUUGCAUCGGGGCUUAUUUUCGUGAGUUUCUUCGCAACCAACAAAUUUAUAAUAUAUUUACGCUAUAUAACAUAUAUUUCUUUAAAAUAAAUAAUUCAUUCAAUACAUAGUAGACACGGACGGAUCAUAAUACCUUAGUAACAACACGAGCCGGUAACAUACCGUUCAAUUAUAAUGUAUA